rnacentral:rRNA from 1 species
UACGGGGAGGCAGCAGUGGGGGAAUAUUGCACAAUGGGCGCAAGCCUGAUGCAGCCAUGCCGCGUGUGUGAAGAAGGACCUUCGGGUUGUAAAGCACUUUCAGUCGUGAGGAAGGUAGUGUAGUUAAUAGCUGCAUUAUUUGACGUUAGCGACAGAAGAAGCACCGGCUAACUCCGUGCCAGCAGCCGCGGUAAUACGGAGGGUGCGAGCGUUAAUCGGAAUUACUGGGCGUAAAGCGCAUGCAGGUGGUUUGUUUAAGUCAGAUGUGAAAGGACCCGGGGCGUCAACCUACGGAAUAGACAUUUAGUAAACUGGCAGACUAGAGUACUGUAGAGGGGGGUAGGAAUUUCAGGUGUAGCGGUGAAAUGCGUAGAGAUCUGAAGGAAUACCGGUGGCGAAGGCGGCCCCCUGGACAGAUACUGACACUCAGAUGCGAAAGCGUGGGGAGCAAACAGGAUUAGAUACCCUGGUAG